UACGAGGGGUGCAAGCGUUAAUCGGAAUUACUGGGCGUAAAGCGCGCGUAGGCGGCUUGAUAAGUCGGAUGUGAAAGCCCUGGGCUCAACCUGGGAACUGCAUUCGAUACUGUCGAGCUAGAGUGUGGGAGAGGGUAGUGGAAUUCCUAGUGUAGGAGUGAAAUCCGUAGAUAUUAGGAGGAACACCGGUGGCGAAGGCGGCUACCUGGACCGAUAUUGACGCUGAGACGCGAAAGCGUGGGUAGCAAACAGGAUUAGAAACCCUGGUAGU
rnacentral:rRNA from 1 species